GAGGAUUGAACCGACCACGUGCAUUGACUAUGCACAUCAUGCGAACAUCCUCAUCUGCCUCUAUUUGCAUUGCUUUUGUGCGACACCGUCAUAGGCAUGCUGUGAUAAGAUCAAAUGUGGAGCAAUGUUGAAGGUGUUGGGGAAUCAAUUUGCGAAGUGCAGCUAUGUCGAGGGUUCUAAAGAAGAAUGAUCGUUGAAUCAAGUUGUGGUUGGAAGAAGGGAGGUUAUCUUGGAUUUGCUCGUAUUCGCGAUGGUUAAAUGUAAUGCGAGGUGGAUCUCUUGCCAUUAGAAGUUCCCUACCCCAUACUGGUGCAAUGGAAGGUUUGGUUACUCCUCUAGCUAUUUCGGCCCAAGCGUUAAUGAAUUGUUGGUAACCAAAACCAUCAAACAUAGUGUGGUUGAAGCGAACGACUAAGAUGAAACCACCACACUUAAGUCGUGUUACCUGCAUUUAUGUUCCAUCUUCAAUAACUAAAAGAAACAAGCUACUUAUAAAUGUUUUAAUUAAAUUCUCACAUCCAUUACCAAAUUAAUAUAUAUAUAUAUAUAUAUAUAUAUAUAUAUAUAUAUAUAAGUAAUCACUUAGAGUGUGUCACUCGAGCAUUUAUUUAAGUUAUCUGAGUUUGAGAGUUAGUUAACAAUUUCUUCUCCAAAUUGAAGUUGUGAAUAUUUUUACUUUAUUAGAGUACUUACCAUAACUUCUGCAUUAAAAAAUAAAUAAGUAAAUAAUAAAUACAAUAAGAUUUUAAAAUGUAGUUCAACAGUAUUAAAAUAGGAGUUACACUGAUUAUCUCAGCCAUAAAUUAUUGUAUAUUUAUUUAAAUUAAAAUGAAUUUAAAGAUUUUAAUAAAAAGUUCUAAUCUGAAUUUUAAUAUUCUCUUAGAUAGGCAACACAAAUAUUUAUUAAUAAUAUUAUUCAAUUAAAAUAAUUUUUUAAUGUUAAAGGGAUAAAACAAAAAUUUAACUGCAGAUAACUACAACCAAAAAUCAACUUAAAAUUAAAACCAGUGGAAAGCCGUGAAACUUACAUUUUAUAAAUUAAAACAAUUUUUUUCCCUUACUCAUCAUGGAUUUUAGAUAACUAAUAUCAAACAUAAAAUAAAAUUAAACAAAUGAUAAUAAUAUUCAUUAAAACGAAAGCACAUUUGAAUUCCUAAGACUCCCAAUUCAAUAGAUCUGAAAUCUAGACUAGAAAGCACAUUUGAAUUGUUUUUUAUAUUUUAUUUUUUAAAAACAAAUUUCAAAACAUGGUGGAUUUUGACAGAAUUUAAUUUGGAAGUAACAUAUAAUUAUAUCAGAAUUUCAGUUUUUAAAAUUUAAAAAAAAAUCUAAAAAAUGAAUCAAAAUGUUCUAGUUUGAUGAGUGUGCGUAGUGAACCUGUACGAGUAGAAGGGGAGUGUCGGUAAUUUGUUGUGAGCCAGGAACAUCGUACAGCAGUUCAUCAAAGCAUGGAAAUGGAGGUUGGAGAGAAUCACCAAACUCAGCCAGUGUGACGUCAGCAUCACCCUCCAUGAACAUGGCUCCUUCUCCAGUGCAAUCCACCAUUAAUUUGCGUUGAGGUCCCUCCCUAAGCCUACCUGCAAAUGGGUAAUAGAAGACAAGUGUUUGCGACAGUGCUUGCCGAAUCACUUCAACUGGGUCUUUCUCUGUCAUUAACACUCGUAGGACACUUAUCGGUGAAGUGUUCAAUUAAAAGAAUAUUUGUUGGAUUUUUGAAAAUUCUAGCACGGUUCUAACAUAGUUUUAAAAGGUAUAAAUAUAAUAAUUUUCUAAAAACUCAAUUUUAUUGUAUAAAUUUGUAUUAUAAUUAUAAAAAUAAGGAAUAAAUUCUUUUGAACCAGUCAUGAAAAAUAUCUUCUUGCUUCCAAAAGAAUUUGAAACAUACUUUUGCACAUAAAUAUUUAUUUUUCAAUUUAUAUUCAAAAUUAUAUAAUAUAUAGAUCCGUGUCCCUGUAUCCUAUAUUUUUUAGAUUAUGCGUAUUUUCGUGUCUACAUCGUGUCAGUGUCUGUAUCCGUAUCUGUGCUACAUAGGUUCUCAUCAAAUAAAUUAGAAAGGGUGGUGAUAUUUUAAUACGAAGGGAAAUGAUGUUUUUGAAAAAGUUGUAUAAUUCUUGAUGUUUGAUGUGAUAAGUUUAAAUAUAAAUAUAUAUAAUAUUAAAUAAAUUUUUAAUUAAAUAAUAUAAAAAAUAAUAAAAUAAUAAUAUUAAGAGUUCUAACGUAAUUAUAUAAAAAAAUAUGGAUGUAUCAUUAUCCUACAAUAAAAUAUAUACACUCUACACACAAAUAAAUGAUUAUUUUAAUUAUAUUUAUUUUAUUUUUAAUUAAAAAUAUUAUUAUAUUAUUAUAAUUAACUUGGCUGUCAGAUGUAUGGUUUAAUGUGUGGGUGUUAAAGUAAACUUUUCCAUUUCUAAACACGUUUUUUAAGAGCAAUAAAUUCGAAAUACAUUUUUCAUAAAGAGUUUUGAUACUUUCAAAAUUAUGUAUGCAAUAAGUUGAUAAUGGGAGAGAAAAAUAACUUUAUGUAUAUAUUAAGUUAUCAUUGACAAUUGAAGAUAGAAAUAACUUUUUAUGUAUACAAUCAUUGAUAAUUGGAGAGAAAUAACUUUUUUAUGUAUACAAUCGUUGAUAAUUGGAGAGAGAAAUAAUUUUUUAUGCAUUAAGUUUAUCCAUUAAGUUACAGUUGACAAUCAAAGAGAGAAAUAACUUUUUAUGUAUGCAAUAAAAUAAGUUACCGUUGACAGGUGGAGAGAGAAAUAACUUUUUAUGUAUACAAUAAGUUAUUGUUAAUAAUAAGUUAUUUGUUAACAAUUGAAUAGAGAAACAACUUUUUAUAAAAUAAAUAAUUUUAAAAUUAUAUUAGUAAAAUCACAAUUAUAAGUUGGUCUCCUUCAAUUUAUAAUAAUUAGAAUUUUUUUUUAAAAUAAAUAAUUUUAAAAUUAUAUUAGUAAAAUCACACUUGUCAACUAAUCACCUUCAACUUUCGGUGCUGAAAGCAAUAUUUUUCAAACUAAAAACACUCUUAAUGAAAGUAUAUUUCUCUUUGGUGUAAAAUAAGUCAUUCUCUUUCAUGAUAACAUAAGAAAUUUUCUACCAACAAUUUUUCUUUUAUUAUCAUUAUAACAAACUAGCGAAAACACAAACACUAUUAUAUCUGUGUGUAUUUAUAUUUUUUAUUUUUAUUAUUAUUAUAUGUAUAUUAUUAUUCUCACAAUAAAAAAUAUAUUAAACAAAUUUAAAUUUAUAACACAAUAAACAUAAUUAUAUUAAAACAAUUACAUCCUUUGUUUCUUUCUCAAAACUUAUAAAUCACUAAUUUCUAAGAUGAGAUGAGAAACUCCCCAAUAACAAACUCUAAAUAUAUAUUUUUUUUUCAACAAAGAAUUAAUUAAAUUAAAAUAGAGACACUUUAGGGGUAUCUCAAUCCUAAUACAAAGAACCAUAAAACUAAUUCUACCAGCUAUUUAAAAUAAACUACUUCACCAAACACACAUUGGCUCCAAUAAAAAACAACCCCAGCAGCCUGCAUAAUAGUCUUCACACCAACAUAAUGGUAUCUUAAUACCUAGUAUAGAUACGCACUUCAGACUUCCCUUUCUCUUUUAGCUACUCCUAAAAGUUGUACCCAAACAUCCCAACUAAAAACCAAUGGCUGAAUAGAGCCCUAUUACUAGAUUACAAUUCCAAUCUCAGACUAACAACAAAGCAUAUAGUGGAAUAACCCUUCGUAGCUACACCAGUUCAGGAAUUCUUAUAAAAAACAUUAAUCUUAAAGCCACUUCCAGCUUAGUCUUCAUCUUCAUGCCAAAGCCUCCCCACAAAAAAAGUGAUUCCUCUUCCUCCACCUUACAUAACAAUAAAAACAUAAUGAAACAACUCCUCUUCCUUCAAUGUACUUCCUCUCUUUCUACUCCCUUUUACUGGAAAAAAUUAUGCUCCCCACAGUUGAGCCUGCAUCAAAAAAGAUAACCUUCCCACCGCACAAGUCUAAAACAUUGAAUCAAGACAGAUAACUUCUACAAGCAUAUUACAAAACGUCCGACCAUAACAUUCAUCAAGUACAAAGAUUAUCCAGACUCCUGUAAUUUGCGAACAGAAAUAUGUAAAAGGUUAGGCAAACAAAAAGACAGAGAUACCACCCUUACCUUGUUACCAUAUUGAUGCAUGUGAAAGGUGAUAGAAUCCAGUCCGAAAAGGAGAAAGUAACUCUCUUAUCUUUAUGUUUCAUCCAAACCCAAGAUUGUACUUGUGCCAUAGUAAAAAUUUCCUCUACAUCUACCUUUGCUUGAUUAAAGGUGACCCUAUUUCUAUGCUUCCAUAUAGUCCAUACAAUUGAGACCCACAAACUCAUCCAAAGUCUAUUGCCUUCCUUAUUAAAGCAGAUGCUAGAGAAUUGUUCGAAGUGAUUAUUCAGCACUAUGUGAUUCACCGAACAGAUUCCCAACCAACUAGAGCACAUAUUCCACACUUUACUUGACUCCCUACAUGAGAGAAGGAUAUGCGUAGAAGUCUCCUCUUCCCUUCCGCAUAAAGCACAUAAAGUAUCCCUUAGUGGCACACCCCUCUUAUGCAGAUUCUAUUUUGUCGCGAUCCUAUCCGAAAGGGCUCUCCAUACAAAGAACAAAGCUGAGGGCAUUGCCUUCAGAUCCCAGAGAGAACCAAACACUGAUACCCCCCCUUGCCUAUAAUUAGCUAGCUUAUUAUAAGCAGAUUUAACCGAGAAAGAGUAUGAUGGGGGUCGUUCCAUAACCUUACAUCCUCAUUAUCUGGUUGAAAUGACGCCAUUGAUAUUAUUGACAUGAAGUCAUCUACCAAGGUCUUCUCCCAUUCAAACCAUUCUCUUCUCCAACUGAACAUCCACUCCCACCGAUCUAUAUUCCAUCUGCCAAAACUUCCGAUAGUCUUGUCUUUAAGCACAGAGUUGUUGUACAUUCUUUCAUACCUUGCUUUGAGUUGGCCAAUAGCUAGCCAUUCAUCUUCCCAAAAUUUGAUCUUGUCCCCUUUUCCAGCUUUCCAAUAUGUAUUCUGUUUAAACCAGUUGUCGCCUUGGUCUGAUAGUCCAACUCUAGAUAAGUCAUUCCACCAUCUAGAUGUGAGCUUAUUUCGAUUCGGUGUACAUGAAUUCAAUAACCUCCUCAAAUCAUACUUAGAUUCCAAAACCUCCUUCCAAAGUCCACGCUCAUUGGAAUCUAACCUCCAUAGCCAUUUUGCCAAGAGAGCCUUAUUAAACAAGUCGAUACGUUUAAUGCCAAGACCACCCUCUUCUUUCGCUUUACAGAUAUUUUCCCAACUAGUCCAGGCGAUUUUCCUCCCUUCCUUUCCCCACCCCCACAAAAAUUUCCGUUGUAGCUUAGUGAUUUCCUUACACACUCCAGUUGGGGCUUUAAAGAAGGAUAGAUAAAAGAGUGGAACGACAUUUAUAACAGAUUUUAUAAGGCAGACUCUUCCCGCAAAGGAUAAAUUCCUACCCUUCCAUACAGACAAAUUCUUUCUUAUCUUUAAUAACACUGGUUCCCAGAAAGAACAUCUCGAUGGGUUACCACCUAUAGGUAACCCUAGGCAGGUGAAUGGGAUAUCCAUUAGACCACAAUGGAGGAUUUCAGAAUACAUUUUCACCUCGUACCUUUCUACUCCAAUUGCCCCAAUCUUGCUCUUGUGAAAGUUAACUUUGAGACCUGAGCUUAAUUCGAAGCAUCUUAGAAUAGCCUUGAUACACAUGAUGUUCUGCACAUUUGGUUCACAUACGAAAAGGGUAUCAUCUGCAAAUUGUAGUAGAUUUACCUCCACCUUUUUACCCCCCACUUUAAUACCCAAAAGCAGAUUCUUUCUUGUGGCUUGCUUUGCUAACCCAGCUAAUCCUUGUGCCACAAUCAGAAACAAGAAUGGCGCCAGCGGAUCCCCUUGUCUAAGGCCUCUAGUUGGUUUAAAUUCCUUUGUUGGACUACCAUUUACCAAAACCGAUAUUGUAGCUGAUUCAAGACAUGCUCUAAUCCAUUGAACCCAUUUCUCACAGAAACCUAGUCUUCGCAUCAUAUAAAAUAAAAAAUCCCAACUUACCGAAUCAUACGCCUUCUCAAAGUCAAGUUUCACUACCACCCCACUCUUUCUCCUUUUUUUUAGAUCAUCCACAACCUCAUUCAAUACGAGAACACUGUCUAACAAACCUCUAUUAGACAGAAAUGCAGAUUGUGACUCAUCUAUUACGUUGGCAAUGACCCUUUUAAUCCUAUUAGCUAGCACUUUCGUCAAAAUCUUAUACAAGCAACCAACAAGAGAGAUAUGUCUAUACUCUUGAAGGGAUUGGGGAUUCUCCGAUUUUGGGAUCAACAUUAUAAAAGACGCAUUACAGCCCUUCGGGAUCAUCCCCUCUUUAUGAAAGAAUUUUACAGCUCCCAACAUGUCUUUUUCUAAGAUAUUCCAAUUAUUUUUAAUGAAGCUGAAGGUGACUCCAUCUGGGCCAGGACUUUUAUGACUAUCACAAUUCCAGAUGGCUUCCUUUAUUUCUUUUUCAUCAAACGGUUCAGUCAGGAAUCUAUUUUCAGAAACGGAUAUCUCCUUGAAAACCACAUUAUCCAGCCUAACACCGAUAUCUUCGGUGGCCGACAUCUUGUUUUUGUAAAAAUCCAAAACCAUCUCUUUUACCUUGUUUGGUUCUUCCACCCAGCUCCCAGAUAUAUUACAAUUCAUACCUUUUAUUUCAUUCCUCAUCCUUCUCCAUUUGAUAGAAGUGUGAAAGAAUUUAGAGUUUAGAUCCCCUUGCUUAAUCCAUAAUGCUCUUGAUUUUUGCUGUAAUAGGGAUUCAUUUCUCUCAUUUAUAACCUAUAACCGGCUCAAGAGUUCUCUUCUUACCAUGAUCUUGUUUUCAUCCAAACCCUCCUCAUCAUCUCUCGAAUCCAACUCUUGUAUUUUCCUCAAGAUCUCAAGUUUAGACUUUUCAGUAUGCCCGAAAACAUCUCUAUUCCAACCUUUUAGGUCACUCUUUAGCAUUUUUAGUUUCUCUUUUAACACCACAAUUUCGUUACCUUGAACCAGGUAACUUUCCCACUUGCUUUUUACAAAGUUAACAAACUCUUUGUCUUCCUGCCAAAUGUCAAGAAACCUAAAAGGUUUUGGACCCCAAUCUGCCACAUUUGAUUUUAACACUAACGCACAAUGAUAAGAUAUUUGUCUCUCUAAAACGUAUUGCUUACUACCUGGCCAGUGUUGUAACCAUUCAAAGGACAUCAAAAAUCUGUCAAGCCUACUCUUUGCUUUACCGUUAGGUCUAUACCAAGUAUAUUUUCUUCCAAUACAGGGUAUAUCCACCAUUUCCAUAUUAUCAAUGAAAUUAUUGAAACCUUGCAUUUCUCUCUUAUUGCCGCUUACUUUAUUAACCCCCCUUCGUUCCUUCCCGUUUCUUAUGGAGUUGAAAUCCCUCAAUAUACACCAAGACCUACAAGGUUCCCUUUGCCUAAUCUCCAAUAAUUCUGACCACAUUUGUGUUUUCUCGUGUAUGAUACAGGAAGAAUACACAUUUACGAUAACUACAGGGAUAUUUUUCUCCUUAGAUAAUCUAGAGAACACUAUAAACCUUCUGUUAAUGAUUUUGCUGUUGCACUGGAAGAACACUUUGUGCCAAAUCAUAAGAAUACCCCCUGACCCAUUUACUGGCUCACUGUAUAAGAAAUCAAUGUCAUUAUCGCCCCAUAACUUACAACAUAAAUCUAGACUAAAAUUACUCAUUCUUACUUCUUGUAAACAUAACAUUUAAAUCCCCUCCUUUCUAAUAAUUUCCUUAACAUACCUCCACUUUACAAGGUUCUCGAACCCUCUCACAUUUAAAGAGAGAAUUCUCAUUAACAACCUAAAACCUCCCCUGCUUCCCUUUUAAGUUUCAUAAACCUAUCCCUUUUUUCCAAUUCCUCUAGGCUUACCAUAACUUUUCCUUCUUCCCCGCAAGAAGCCCCUAACUGUUUGCCCAACUCCCACACUCUAAUUGUUUCAAGGCUUCCAUGUUUCAACCAAAAUAAACGAUUACAGUUAUCAAUGGCUGUAUCAGAGACAAAAAUACUAAUUUGAGAUAGAGCUGACCUUAUAUUCUUACGUUCGUCCUGCUUACUGCUCUUGCUUGAUUCUCCCACCUAGAACUCUCUCCUAUCCAUCGUUUCAAACGAAUUAGAAUUAGUCGAAUUGCAUACGUGCUUUUUUUGGUGGUUCGCUUCGUCCUCGACCAAUUGGAUCCCCUUUUUCUUUUGCUUGCCGAACGGAAGGUAUGUAUCUUUGAUUCUGCAAGAUUUCGAAUCCAAGUGAAAUUGCUUGUGUUUGUUCUUUGCGCCUACAAGGAUGUGUUGUUUGGAUGACUGAUUUGCCUCCCCCUCUUGUGACUCACCCAACGAAUCCUCCACCCUCGAUACGGACUUUGAAGAACCGUGAUAGCCCCAUUUCUUCCCUUCCGCUGGCGUCGAGAUUUGAGUCUCUAGGUCUGCAAUUCCUUCCGCUGCCAAAAUCGUCGUACACGGAGUAGACCUCUUCUUCUCCUUCGUAACCUCAUACGAAAAAGAGGGGAGCACGGACGUUGCUCUGUUUCGUGCAUUGACUUGGUGUGAGGUGACUUUGUCAAUCCCACUAAGACCUCCCUGCUCUGAUUCGUCAAGAGAAAUGAAGUUUUCAGAUGUGGGCAACGAAGGCAAAUAAAAAUUUGCAGGCAAAAGAGUACAUUACAAGAAAACAAGCAAUUAGCUUCCAAUUUUUUGCGUGGGCCAUUUACGGACGCUACUAUCGUCGGUCAAAGUGGCAAAAAACCCACGCAACAAUCGCAUUCGACGCAAAACGGACGCACUUAUGGAUUUAAUUUUUUUUUAAAAAAGUCCAGUCUGCGUCGACUGCGGCCCACGCAUAUGCGUCCGCCGCGGCCAAGAUUUUAAAAUUAUUUAUUUAAAUUUAUUUAAUGUAUAACAAAUAUUUUAAUAUUUAAUUCUUUAUUGUAUUUAUUUUAAAAUUAUUUCUUUAAUAUUAUAAUAAAUUAUUUAAUUUAUCAAUUUUUAAUAUAAAUUAGUUAAAUUAAAUUUAUUAAAUUAAUUAAGUGUUUGAUUUAAAAUUAAUUGAGUAAAAGAAAAUAUGUAUUUAAAUUAUUUAAAUGUUAUAUAAAAUAUUUUAUUAUUUUAAAGAUUAUUUAUUUUAAAUUUAUUUUAUUUAUAUAUUGUCAUAAAUAUUUUAUUUUUGAAAUUAUGAUAUAAAUUAGUUAGAUUAAAUUUAUUAAAUUGAUGAAGUGUUUAAUUUUGAAAUCAUUUAAAAGAAGUUAUCUUAAAAAGUUUAUAAAGAUUUGAAUGUAUUUGUGGAUGUAUUGUGAAUGAUAAUAAUUUGUCUGAAUGUGAUUUGGUUGGUAUUUCUUCUUUACAGGUAUCUUAGCUAUUUAUAGGUAAAUUGGCUAGAAAACAAAAUAAAUUUGUUUUUUUUUCUUCCCUUUAUGCGUCAGCCACCGCCGGCCCAUGCUAGCUUUUUUUUAAAUAUGCGUCGGCUUUUGCGUGGCCCUAGCCCACGCAACAUCUGAUAAAUUAUGCUUCCGUCUGGCCCGCGCUAGUUUACAUUUGCUUCCCAGUUUUUUUCGUCGAUACUCGGGCGCACGAAAAUCUGACGUAUAAGCGUCCGUUUUUUACCCACGCAGAAUGCUUGUUUUCUUGUAGUGGUAGCUCUCACUUUAAAAGCACUAAGACAUUAAUAGAAUCACAUUCAUUCUUACAAAUUUUUUGUAAUGACCAUUAUUCACCAUAGCCAUAUCACUCUCAACAACAUUCCAGUUCUCCUUUGUUGAGUUCAGAUCAUUUAAGCCAUGGAUUUGUUUAUCCAUUUUCAAUGUUGACAUAUUUUAUACCAAAAAAUGGAGUACAAAAUUCCACAAAGAAAGACAAUGACAGAAUAUAACUCAAUGAAUUCAAAAAGCAAUGAAGAUAUAUACAGUGCGAUGCCACAAACUUAUACGUAAAGAUUAAUCCAUUCAUAAUACAGGUCAUAUUUCUUUCUAAGAUGACACUGGUUUUGGAUAACAUGCAACCACAAAUUGACAGAAGUGGUUGUUUUUUAUCAGUGAAAAAACACUUUUUCUUACUUUUUUCACUAAUUAAGCCAUUUUGAAACACAACUACGCACCAAUAUAGGAUUGGUAAGCUGCAUAUUUCUGUAAAGCAUAGUUUCAGAAUGCAUUAAACGAUGAUGGUUUUGAGAUUUACUUCCCAUGUCUCAGACUAUUUUUAACACUAUUCGGGCAAUGAAGCAAGGCAAACAUGUGGAUUUAGUCCAAUGCUUUUUUUGCUACCUCAGUAUUUCUGUGUAAUGGUAGCUUUGUAAUUGCGUUGACUUAAUGAAAACCAUUUUUGAUGCAGCACAUCAGGUGCCUUAAAUAGCUAUGAUAUAUAUUUAAGGCAAUUUGCACAAAGUUCUAACAGUAUUUGUAUGCUGUAAUUAACUUUAUGUAACAAACAUUGGAAGUGUUUUAGGGUUUGCUUUAUUGCUUUUUUUUUAGGUAUAAAGUUAUUUUUAAUUUGCAUAAAUAUUUACUGUGGUAUAAGAGGUUUAAUUUAAAUCAGAUUACACAAUGCAUUGCUUUCCCAGUAUUAUAAAAACUGUUAAUUUGCUUAUUACAUUUGUCCUUAGUUCAUCACUCAUUAUUGUAAUUUUUUUUAAUCUAUAUGUAUAUGUUGCCUAUAUUAGUAACUAUUUAAUGUCACAAAAGAGGUUGAAUGCAAAACAGAUUACACUCUCAUCUGCUUUACUACUAUAUUAAAUAUAUACUGUUUAGUUAAUUUCAUUUGUGUUUGGAACCUCACUGUCCAUUUCAAUAUUCAAUGCAGUGUAGGCUUUUGAUUCCUCUUAUAGAGUUUGAUUUAUAUUUGUUUUUACUUUAUGUUCAGUUUGAUGUCUACACUUUGAUACCUACUUCAAUUGCUUUACAUAAAGCUUGAACAUAGUAAAUCUCAUUUCAAUCAAAAUAUUCAUGGUCGCAUCAGAUGUUAUUUACACAAAUCCAUAUUUGUUUGAUCCAACAAUACAAAAUGUGAAAUUAGACAAAUAGAAACUACUAAAGUAUACUAGAAAUUCCAAAAUAAAUUUAAAGUAUUAUGCUUUCUAAUUUCUUGUUUAAGCUCUGUAAGCUUCCUGGUAAAUCUUCCUUUGAAAAUUUUCUUUAUUUUUUCAUCCUUUUUCUCUUUUGCCAUAUCCCUUGUAAUAAGAAGUCCUUGAGAAGGAUCUUCUCCUUCCAACCUCUCAUCUUCUCCUUGAAGUGCUUCCUCUUCAUAUGAUCUUGAGACUCUAUGAUAAGGUAAUGCACGUGUAUGGAGUUAUAAGAAUUUGUAUAUGUUUUGGUAAAUUAGACCAACAUGUUACCCACUAGUUAACUAGUAAUGCCUAGGAACUACACCUGCUAAAAUUCCAUUGAUAUUUAUCACAACAAACUAGUACAUUUCUUCAAAAUACAAAAUAUAUCCCACACUAUAUCUACUUCUUUUCUCUAAUCACAUUAUGAGAAUGACCUAUAAUCCCAUGAAAUACAGUUUACUUAGGAGAAAUGCUUUGAGGUUGAUUUUAGUUGCGAAGCAUGUGAUUAAACUCUUUGGUAAACCUCUCCAUAGCUUCAGCAGGCAAGCUAAUCGGAAAUAUUAUUCCUUCUUCUCCUUUUCCAUUCUUAGCAGAACAGAAAUAAGAUGCCCCUGGAAAGCUUCCAGCCCCAGCUUCGGCCACUCCACCAUACACAGCCUCACCCCACCCAAAAUCCAUGGCUCUAAAUUUCACUUGUACCAAAUAUGACACAAUACAAGACCUCACAGUUGUGAAUAAUAAGCUUCGUUCCUUCAUCACCAUCAAGUCGGCAACAGAUUGCAAGUACUCUUCUUUCAUCUCACCUUUCACUUUAUUUAUUAACUCCACUGCAUACCCAAAUGGGUUUUGGCAAAGCUUCCCUGCACUCGUUACUGCCGCCGGAUAUGCAAAAGCAUUGCCGUAGUAACCAACUGGUAGUGGAGGAUUGAAUCGACCACGUGCGUUAACUAUGCACAUCAUGCGAACAUCCUCAUUUGCCUCUAUCUGCAUUGCUUUUGUGCGACAUCGCCAAAGACAUGCUGUGAUAAGAUCAAAUGUGGAGCAAUGUUGAAGGUGUUGGGGAAUGGAUUUGCGAAGUGCAGCUAUGUCGAGGCGUCCAAAGAAGAAUGAUCGUUGAAUCAAGUUGUGGUUGGAAGAAGGGAGGGUAUCUUGGAUUUGCUCGUAUUCAGGAUGGUUGCGUGUAAUGCGAGGUGGAUCUCUUGCCAUUAGGAGCUCCCUACGCCAUACUGGUGCAAUGGAAGGUUUGGUUGCUCCUCUAGCCAUUUCGACCCAAGCGUUCAUGAAUUGUUGGUAACCAAAACCAUCAGCCAUGGUGUGGCUAAAGCGGAGAGCCAAGAUGAAACCACCACACUUGAGUCGUGUCACCUGCAUUUAUAUUCCAUCUUCAACAAUUCAGACAAUUUCAUUGUUUAACUCUCACAUUAAUUACGAAAUUAUAAUAUAUAUAUAUAUAUAUUUAAGAUAUCAAAACUUUAUUUUAAAUUGAGUAACUUAAGAGAAAUUAGCUAAAAUGAAAAAGUAACCGGAAUAAUUUCAAUAUAUGUCAAUUUAAUUAUUUAAUUUUAGUAAACUAAACACUUGUGCACGUGAUUUUAGUGAUUUUUUAUUUUGAAAAAUAAGUGAAUAAUAGAUAUUUUGAGUUGUUUUUAUAUUUUACUUUUUUAAAAAAACAAAUUUCAAAUGGUAGAUUUUGACAGAAUUUAAUUGGGGAGUAACAAAUAAUUAUAUCAGAAUUCAGUUCUUAAAAUUAAAAAAAAAAUCUAGAAAAUGAAUAAAACAUGUCUUAGUUUGAUGAGUAUGUGUAGUGAACCUGUACGAGUAGAAGGGGAGUUUCGGUAAUUUGUUGUGAGCAAGGAACAUCGUACAUCAGUUCAUGGAAGCAUGGGAAUGGAGGCUGGAGAGAAUCACCAAACUCAGCCAGUGUGACGUCAGCAUCAGCCUCGAUGAACAUGGCUCCUUCUCCAGUGCAAUCCACCAUUAAUUUGCGUUGAGGUCCUUCCCUAAGCCUACCUGCAAAUGGGUAAUAGAAGACAAGUGUUUGCGACAGUGCUUGCCGAAUCACUUCAACUGGGUCUUUCUCUGCCAUUGAUUCCUGCUUUCCAUAAAUUUGUAUCAUUGGAAUGUGGAAACGCAGGGCUUCUUGAUCAUCAAUGUCGGAAAGUAGCUUGAGUUCAUGAGGAGUGGGGAUAGCAGGAGCCACCAGCUGAGGUUCGCACCUUCGCACUGUAAACUUUAGAGAAGAAGAAGAGAAAGAAGAUGAUAAAGAUGAGGCCAUGAGAAUUAUGAGAGAAGAGAAGAGAAGAAAAAUGAAGCAAAUGGAUUUUGGUUGAGUGACUGUGAGUUCCUCGGACUUAGGCUGCAACCCUUUAUAGAUGGAAAUCAUUCUCAUCAAAUAAAUUCGAAACACGUUUUCAUGAUGAGCAAUAAUACUUUUUAUCUAGAUAAUCAUUCAUUAUAAGAUAUAGACAUUGAAGUGAAUUAUUAUUAUUAAACUAAAGUUUAUAAAUAUAAAUUAAAGUUAAACAUAAGUUUGCAUAUAAGAUUAUUUAUGAAAGGUCAGACAUCAAUACGAAAAUGGACCCAAAGUGUCGCACAGCCACAAUAUAACCUGACCUUAUCAAGUGCUUAUCUGAAAGAAAAAAAAGUUACUAAAAAAAACAUGUAGUCUGAUCACGGUGAAGGACGUAAAAAUUGUGUAAAAUUAAAAAAAGUUACAGUAAGUUGUCAGAGGUCGUGAAUUAAAUAGUUACAGUAAGUUGUUAUGUUGUUCUAAGUUUUAGAAGGUUAGGUUGUUUAGAAGGGAGGAACUCAUCAUCCACUUCUAUUCCUUUCUUGGAAAUAGAGAAUGAGGGACAGCCGUGAACGACGAUACUCCGGUGUAUGGCGACAAUGCCAAGGUGGAUGGAGGGAGGACCAACGGGGGAAGCGGAUCGUAGAGACAAACAAAGCGUCCUCAAACGAAAGCUCGACUUUUUUCUUCUCAAAUUUUCCAAGUACCCAUGGUGAGUAUGACAUGUUGAAGAUUUUUCAGAGAUGGGCUAGGGUGAAAGAGGUAUUCAUUUCCAAACAUAGAAAUAGGUGGGGAAGAAGGUUCGGGUUUGUGAGAUUCUUUAUGGUACCGAACGUGUUCAAACUAGAGAAGGAGUUGGAUCAGAUCUUCAUUGGUGAUAUGAAACUUUAUGUUAACUUGCCAAAAUAUAGGAGAUCUGAGCAUUUUCAACAAGGGGGGGCGCCACUUGCGGAAGGCAAGGAUAAGCACCAUGCUCAUAGACCAAAAGGGCAAUUGAGGGGCAAGGAAUGGAGAGUAGUAAAAGGGAAGGGUGGUAACAGGGACCAUCUAGUGAAGCAGUCGUAUGCUGAAGUUGUUAGGAAACAGUCACAAGACCAGUGGACGGGACCAAGUAUUGACACUACUUCAAAAGUUCUCCCAUGGAUGUCAUAUAGUGCAGUAGGUUGGAUGGUACCGGAUUUAAACUAUACGGCUCUGUGUGAAGAGUUUAUCAAAGGGGGUAUGGCUAUGAUUAAGGUGAGACCUAUGGGAGAUAACCUUGUUCUCUUGACUCCUAGGGAAGGUGAAAGCAUGGAAGAUAUUAUUAAGCUGAAUAAAAGUUGGUUUACAAGUGCCUUCGAGGAAAUUGAACCGUGGUCUACGUCAGUUGUAGCGACCCAUAGGCUGGUAUGGGCGAGGUGCUAUGGACUUCCUAUUUCACUAUGGAAUAAGGAUUGUUUAUCUAAGUUGGUCGAAGGCAUCAGUCAAUUUCUUUGGAGGGGUGAAUAUCGAUCUCAUAAAUGGGGCUUUAUGCCCAGUUCGUUCCUUUCGCGAGUGCGCGGACAAAGGGGGACCUUCUAUCUGUCUGCAACAUAAUCAUAUUGGAUUACCAGGAGAAUCAAGUAGUGUGGACAGUUCAACGCCGAAAAAGAAAGAAGAAUUUGAUGAUAAAAUUAACUCAAGGGCAGAAGCAGAAUCCAAUACACCAGAGAGUGUGCGUAGACUCCGAAACCUGUGGGAGCAGGGCACGAAACAGUCCUGUGUGCGAUGGAGAUCGAAGGGAGGUUUAGGACCACUACAUUAUGGCGUCAAUUCUUCAUCUAGGUUAAGUCGCUGCUCCUUUGCUGAAUCUGAAAGUGACAUUGAACUUUGUAAUAAUAGAUUGAGAAUUGAGGAUACUGUUGAUGAGCCAGUACAGAUUUGGGAUGCGGGCAAACGGUUAGGUUUGAGGUGUUCAGGGGAGGAGGUGAAUGUUGUAGUAGAACUGGAAUGUAUGGAAGUUAGGGACAAGGAAGUCAGAAAAUGUGCAGAGGAGGGCACCAACCCCGUUGGUUUAUGAUUAUUGUUGAUCUUAAUAUUAGGGGGUGGGGGGGGGGGGGUACCAAAACAAAUUAUCUGAAACAUUGUAUUACUAAGGAGAAUGCGGAAUUUGUGUGUUUGCAGGAGACAAAAACUACGACUUUCUCAGAUAUUAGAUGUUUCUCACUUUGGGGAACAAUAAUAUUGGUUGGAUACAUUAUGAAGGCAAUAAUGGAGCUGGGAGUAUGAUCUCCAUGUGGCAGAAAGAUAAAUUUUGCUAUGAGACGCAUGUUGUGGGGACUGGAUUCAUUGCGGUAGUAGGUCAACAUAUUCAUUCUGGUCACAGGUGCUUCGUGGUUAAUGUUUAUGCAGCUUGUAAUCUUAGAGCAAAAAUAACUUUAUGGGAAGAUUUAUCGUCUUUCAGGCGGACCUAUCAGAACAUGGCUGGUUGUUAUUGUGGAGACUUUAAUGCUGUAAGAAGGGAAGAUGAAAGGAAAGGUAUUGGUAGGGGAACCAGCCAGAGGAAGGAGAUGAGUGGCUUUAAUGACUUUAUUGACACAAACUGCUUGGUGGACAUACCAACUGCAGGCAAAAAGUUUACUUGGUUCAAACCAAAUGGUACUGCUAAAAGUAGGUUGGAUAGAUUUCUUGUGUCUGAAGAGUGGAUUCAGUUUUGGCCUUUCUACAAGCAAUAUGUGCAGCAAAGAACUGUGUCCGAUCACUGUGCUAUUGUGGCGAAAUCUUGGGUUAAAGAUAGGGGUCCUAAACCCUUUCGUUCGAUCGAUGCUUGGUUUUUGGAGCCAGGAUUCAAGGCGUAUGUACAAGAGAAAUGGGGCUCAUACAAUAGCCAGGGUAACAACAUAUCUAGCUUCAAGGACAAACUAAAAUUGCUGAAGGCUGAUUUGAAAGUGUGGAAUAUGAAAGUGUUCGGGUGUUUACAGACAAAUCAAAGGCAAAUCCUGAAGGAAAUUGAGAACAUUGACGUUAAGGAUGAUAAUGAAGGUCUAGAGGAGCAUGAUCGACUAAAACGAUUGGAGUUACUGAGUCAGCUACGAUUGGUUGAUAGUAAGAUGGAUUCUCUUUCAAGGCAGAAAGCAAGAGCAAAUUGGUGUAAGUUUGGGGACAUAAACUCCAGAUUUUAUCAUACAACUAUCAGAUGGAGAAGACUGAAGAACGAAGUUAAAGGAGUGGAAGUUGGGGGGCAAUGGUGUGAAGAACCGGAAGUGGUUAGAAGGGAAGCAAAGUCUUUGUUUGAAAAAAGGUUCACAGCUACACAAGAUUCUGGAGUUAAUCUGAGAUCUGUGGAGUUUAAAUGCCUUCCCCAAGAAAUCAGCAUAAGCAUGGUUGCAAGUUUCACAGAGGAAGAAGUAAAAGAAGCAGUGUGUCAAUGUGAAGGAACAAAGAGUCCAGGCCUGGAUGGAUUCAAUUUCACGUUUAUUAGGAAUUGCUGGGAUUGCCUUAAAAGUGACAUUAUGGAAGCUUUGCACUUGUUCCAUGAAAAUGGAGUUAUACCAAAGGAUUGUAAUGCCUCUUUUAUAGCCCUGAUACCUAAAGUGCCUGAUCCCUUAUCUUUAGACCAGUUUAGGCCCAUUUCCCUGGUAGGCACUUUUUAUAAGAUCGUCUCUAAGGUCCAAGCGGGACGUAUGAAGGGUGUUCUUCCUUUGGUUAUUGAUGAAAACCAAUUAGCUUUUUUGAAGAACAGAGGUCUGCUUGAUAGUGUACUCAUGGCAAAUGAGGUGGUGGAGGAGGUUAGGAGGAACCGGAGAAGUGCACUCUGCUUUAAAGUGGACUAUGAAAAGGCAUAUGAUUCUGUAAGGUGGAACUUCUUAUACGACAUGUUACAAAGGCUAGGCUUCCAUAGCAAUUGGGUGAGGUGGGUUAGAGGGUGCUUGGAAUCGGCUUCCAUUUCGGUGCUUGUCAAUGGAAGCCCAACAGAGGAAUUUAUCCCGUCAAGAGGGCUGAGACAGGGUGAUCUUAUGGCUCCUUUUUUGUUUCUCGUGGUUGCUGAAGGUUUGGCUGGGCUUGUGAGACAAGCGACUAAGCUAAAAAUGUUAACAGGCGUGAAGGUGGGAAGGAAGGAAAUAGAGUGCAGCAUGCUCCAAUUCGCAGACGACACUUUGCUCAUGUGUGAGGAUAAUUUUUCAAAUGUGUUCACGAUAAAGACGAUCCUAAGAUGUUUUCAACUAGUCUCAGGUUUGAAAAUUAAUUUUCAUAAGUCCAAAUUGGCAGGGAUAAAUGUGGAUAGGUUCACUCUGGAAACUUAUGCCAAGUCUCUCAAUUGUUUUACAAUGCGCAUGCCUUUCAAGUACUUGGGGUUAGAAGUAGGAGGGAACCCAAGGAAGGUACAGUUCUGGGAACCGGUUGUCAAUAAGGUCAGAGCUAGGCUUAGCACUUGGAAAGGGAGGCGCUUAUCUAUGGCGGGUAGGAUUUGCCUGAUCAAAUCUGUGUUCACAUCUAUUCCCCUUUUCUACUUAUCUUUCUUUAAAGCUCCGAUCUCGAUCUGUAAUACAAUCACGAGCAUCCAAAGGAGUUUUCUGUGGGCCUGGGGUAGAGAUAAUAAAUCUAUACCUUGGGUAAGUUGGGGGAAAAUUUGUAAACCUUUUGAGGAAGGUGGUCUGCGUAUCAAGGAUAUCAGGAAAUUCAACUAUGCGUUGAUGGCGAAAUGGAAAUGGAGGCUAAUGAGUGAUGAGAAGGGGAAAUGGAAAGAUAUUUUGGAGUCCAAAUAUAUGGUCACUCUUGGUGGUGGAGAGACUUAGAAAAAAUAUGUAGGGAGGGUAAUGGUGUAGGCUGGUUUCAACAAGCUGUUAAAUGGAAUGUCAGAUCUGGGGACUUAGUUCGUUUAUGGGAGGAUCCUUGGAUUAAUGACAAUAAACUCAAGGAUUUAUUUCCUAGGUUAUACUCUAUUUCGCUGAAUCAAGGGAUGACGGUGGGUGAAACUGGUUAUUGGGAUGAUCAUGGGUGGACCUGACAUUUGAACUGGAGAAGGGAGAGAUUUUGCUGGGAGUCGGAUGUGGAGGAAUAAUUAUUAACAAUUCUAGCCAGGGAAGUUUUGGUUAAGGAUGCUAAAGAUUUUAUUACUUGGAGUGGGGAUUCCAAGGGGUUAUUCUCGGUAAAAUCAGCAUAUGGUCUCUUAACCAAUCAGGUUUCUGAACCGAGUAAUGCUGUUUUUAGUCUGUUAUGGAGGACCAAAGCUGUCCCAAAAGUGUUAACCACGGCCUGGAGAAUCUUGCUGGACAGAAUUCCGACUUAUCAUAAUCUUGUGGUACGAGGAAUAGUGGUGAAUUCACCUCUGUGUGUAUUCUGUAACUUGCAAGUUGAAUCCACACAACAUUUGUUUUUGUAUUGUGCUUUUGCUUACUGUGUAUGGAUGAUGUGCUACCAAUGGAUAGGUGUAGUGGGAACACAAAAUAGGGACAUUUGUAAUCACUUUCUGAACUUUCACUUAACUAAUAUGUCUGAAAAACAGAAUCAGGUCUGGAGGGGAGUGUGGGUGGCCAUCACACGAAGCAUAUGGGAGCAUAGGAAUAAUGUUAUCUUCAGACAAGAAGUUCCCGAUCCCGAAGAAACUCUACAAGCAGCUCAACUUAUAGUUUGGCUAUGGCUAAAACAUAAGGAAAGCUCGUUCUCAUAUUCUUUCUCUGAUUGGAUCCUUAACCCAUUUCAAUGUCUAUUGAGUGUUUGUUAAAUAGGGGAGGGAUGGUGUAUGCUAGUAUUUAUACACUAUUGUGGGGCUGGUUUGUGGCAGGUUUAGGGUAGUUGGUGGUCGCCGAAGGUAUGCAUCAUCGCCGUUUUUGAAGAAGGCCAACAUGAACGCCGGACGAUAAAGAGGCGUUCUCCAUGCCUGCGUAGUCGGUGGUCGUCGAAGUGGUGCAUCAUCGCCGUCUUUGAAGAACAGAAGUUCAUUUGAAGUGAGGGGCGAUGUGGAUGAGGACACGUGGAAGGCCAAUAUGAUCGCCAGUCGAUAAAGCGGCGCUCUCCAUUCGUGCGUAGUUGGUGGUCGUCGAAGGUAUGCAUCAUCACCGUGUUGAAGAAGGCCAACAUGAUCGCCGGUCGAUGUGGCGGCGAUCUCCGUGCGUGCAUAGUCGGUGGUCGCCGAAGCUGUGCAUCAUCGUUGUCUUAGAAGAACAGAAGUUCAGAUAUUGGAAGUGAGGGGCGAUGUGGAUGAGGACACGUGGAAGGCUAGUAUUAUCGUCGGUCGAUAAAGCGGCGCUUUCCAUGCGUGCGUAGUCGGUGGUCGCCGAAGGUAUGCAUCAUCGCCGUUUUUGAAGAAAGCCAACAUGAUCGCCGGACGAUAAAGAGGCGUUCUCCAUGCGCGCGCGUAGUCGGUGGUCGCCGAAGUGAAGCGGCGAUCUCCGUGCGUGCGUAGGCAGUGGUCGCCGAAGUUAUGUAUCAUCGCCGUACUUGAAGAACAGAAGAUCAGAUAGCCGGAAAUCGUCGUGGUAGGCACAUCGCCGGGUUUCCAGAAAGCUUAAUUGAAGCUGUUAGAGGUUUACGUAUAAAACUGAAGACCUAGGCAGGAGGUAUUUUAUGUUCACUGUCAUAGGAGGUUGAGAGAGGCAGCACUAGCCAUUGGGUGUGGAGGUUGCGGAAAGUCACUCUCCAAGUACCAUUCAACAUGGUGGGAGGACCUAAUGGUGUUAUGGUGGUGUGAAAUUGUUGUUUAGUGUUUUGAAACAGUCCAACAUUACAAUAGUAGUAGAAUGGAGCAGUUUUUAUGAUAUAUCUUUUUAUCCCUUGUUUUGGGAUACCUCGUGGAGGUCCUAAAAAACAGGGUUUGGGUUUUGUAAAGGGUUGGAAUACCCCUUUUGUAUCCCCUUAAUUUAAUUUAAUUCUUUGCUGAUAAAAAAUAAAAAAAAUAAUAAAAAUAAAAAUAAUCUUGAUCUUGAUCUUAGAAAUUAAUUUAUAUUUAAAUUAACAUUUUAAUAUAAUAUUAGUUAUGUAAUUUUCCUAUAAAAUCACUUGGUUGAUACACGAUAUUAGAGUUGAACUCAAUACCAAAUAUCAAUUAUACAUGUUUGUUUUUUAAGAUAAUGACAAAUAGUUAAAAUUUGAUAUUAAAAUUUUGAUAUGUUGAGAGUUAUUUUUUUUUUCUUAAAAAAUAUUUUUGGUGUUCGAACUCUUGUACAAACUCAAAAAAAAAUCUGGAACAUGUAAAAAGAACAAUUAAUAUUAAAGCUGCAAUGUGAAGUCCCUAUUUAUCAAGACAUGACAGGAACUUAUCAAGAUUCUAAAAGCUGGAUCCCAAACACUCUUAAGAGUUAUCGAAAGAAUGUUAUCCACGAAAGAAAAAUGAUGAAUGUAUUUCUAUAAUUUGACAAUCAUCACGCGUGCCACAUUUAAUGAAAAGUGAUUUCUGACAGACGUACACCAAUACAACUAGUAUUCCCUACCGUGGUGUUCGUACUAUGAAACCUUAAAAUUCAACCAAAAAUAUCAACACUUAAACUUUCAGUUUAAAAGUGCGAGAAAAUUUGAAAAAAGAUUAUUUUAAUAAAUUAAUCUUUUAUAAUAUAAUUUUCUUUCAUUAAUAAUUACAUUUUGUAAAUAAAUAAUUAAGACAAAUAUUAUAAUAAAAAAUAAAUAUUAAUAUUUUAUUUUAAUAAUAAAUUGAAAAUUUAUUUUAUUUAAAUUAAUUUAUUAUCAUUUUAAAAUAUAAUUUUUUAUAUAUUAAAAUAUAUAAUAAUUUAUUCUUUUAAUUUAAAUUUUAUUUACAUUUUAAAAAUUACUUUUUAUAUUAAAUUUUAUUACAAAAAUCAUUUUUAUCAAUUAAAAUUUUAACUAUAUCCAUCACAUCACUCUCGUAAACUUUCAUAAAGUUUUCUUUCAUUUUCAUAAUUUAUCUUAAUCUAAACAACCUUACUUUCUUUACAUUUUUUUUUUCAAAUCCACUAUCUCAUCCAAACAAAGAAGUUCUACAAAUAUACUAUUCAUCAAAGAUGAAAAAGUGAAAGACACACAUGUUUUGAUCUAUUUAUUUACACUAAAAUAAGAGUGAGUAAUAAUGUAAAAAGUUAUUGUUCACACGCUCACUCAUUUGUAAAGAAAGACGAAAACCCUAUCCCUAAUGUUUAGCCCAAACACUAAUCUCUAACCCUAAUCACACCUUUAACCAUAACCCUACCCGUAACACAACCCCACAACCACCAAACCUACCAAGCAUCCCUUAAUUCUAAACAAUAAUCCAUAACCAUGAUGCAUAUACGAAUACGUAAAAACCUAAACAUACUAAAAUUAAUAUAAAUAGUAUAAGUAAAUAAACAAAUGGUUCAAGUAUCAAUAAAUUACAAAAUGAUUAACUUUUAGAUAAAUAAAUAACAAUAAACAGUUUUGUAAAAGAAAUAUUCAUCCCAAAAAGACGAAUAACUCAAAAACAAUUUUAUCUUUUUUGAAAUCAUUAACAUACAAAAAUUAUUCUAUUCCCUUCAAAUUUUGUUGAUUUAUUUAUUUUAAAUUUUGUUUACGCAGAACAUCAAAAUAUUUUAGAUUUGUAUUUAUUUAAGAUUUUGAAUAAGUUAAUAAUUUUAUUUAUUUAUGAUACUAAAUAUUUACGGUUUCUCUUUUUAUUUAGGAUUUUGAACAAAUUUAGGAAUUUAAUUUGUUUAUGAUUUUUAUUUAAUUUGAACAUUAAAUAAUUUUUAAAAAUUAGAAAUUUUAUUAAUUUUAAAUUUUUAUUUAAGAACGCAAUUAAAUAAUGACAUUAAAUAUUUAUGUUUUCUGUUUAUUUAGGAUUUUCUAUUAAUUUAAAAAUUUAAAUUAUUUCAUAUUUUUAUUUAAGUAAAAUAUUAAAUAAUUUAAGUUUAUUUAUUUAGGAUUUUGAAAAUAAAUAAAAAAAUAUUUAUUUUUUUAUAUUCUUUAAGUAGGAAAUACAAUAACUUAGAAUUUUGAAAAACUUAAAUUUUUUAUUAAUUUUAGAUUUUUAUUUAAGAAUGUAAUUAAAUAAAUUAGGAUGUUGUAUCUAUUUAGUAUAUUUAGUAUUUUGAAUACUUUAGAAAUUUUAUUAAUUUUUUAUUUUUUAUUUAAGAAUGAUAUUUUUUUUUUGGAUUUAUUAUAAUUUAGAAUUUUGAGAAACUUAUAAAUUUUAUUUAUUUUAGAUUUUUAUUUAACUGGAAAUACAAUAAUUUAAGGCUUUUAAAAACAUAGAAAUUUAUUUGGUUUAGAUUUUUAUUUAUGUAUGACAUAAAAUAAGUUAGGGUUUGUAUUUAUUUAGAAUUUUGAAUAACUUAGAAUUUUUUUUUAUUUCACACUUUUAAUUAAGUAGAACCUUAAAUAAGUUAAGAUUUGUAUUUAUUUAAAAGUUUGAAUAAUUUAGAAAUUUUAUUUAUUGAAAAUUUGUAGUUAAGUAAGAUAUUAAAUAAUUUUAAUUUGAAUUUAUUUAAGAUUUUGAAUAAUUUUAGAAUUUUAAUUAUUUUAUUUUUGUAUUUACGUAUGACAUAAUUAAUAAUUUAGGGUGUCUAUUUAUUUUUAGAUUUUAAAUAAUUUUGGAAUUUAAUUUAUUUCAUAUUUUUAUUAAAGUAGAACAUUAAAUAAUUUAGGUUAUGUAUUUAUUUAGGAUUUUGAAAAUUUUAAAAGUAUUAUUUAUUUUAGAUUAUUAUUUAAGUAUAAAAUUUAGGAUUUGUAUUUAUUUAGAAAUUUGAAAAGUUAGAAAUUUUAUUAAUUUUAGAUUUUUUUUUAUAAAAAUGACAUUAAAUAAUUUAGGAUAUGGAUUUAUUUAAAAUUUUGAAUAAUUUAGGAAUUUUAUUGUUUUCAAUUUUUGUUUAAGAAUGACACUACAAAGUUUAGGAUUUUUAUUUAUUUAGAAUAAUAAAAAACUUAGAAUUUUAAUUUAUUUUAUAUUUUUUUUAUUUAAGUAGGAAAUAAAAUAAUUUCAGAUCUUGUAUUUAUUUUGGAUUUUAAAUUUUUAAAAAAAAUAAUAUUUAAGAUUUGUUUUAAAGUAUUUAAAUAAAAAAUAAAAUAAUUUAAUAUUUUGUAUUUAUUUAGAAUUUUGAAAAACUUAUAAAUUUUAGGUUAUGAUUUAUGUGUAUUUGAAUUUUGAAUAAUUUAAAAAUUUACUUUAUUUUAGAUUUUAAUUUAAGUAGGACAUUUAAUAGUUUAGAAUUUGUAUUUAGUAAGAUUUUAAAUAAUUUAAGAAUUUAUUUAAGAUAUUUUAUAUAAGUAUGACAUUAAAGAAUUUUAGGAUUUGUAUUUGUUUAGAUUUUUGAAUAAUUUAGAAAUGUUAUUGCAAAUUUUUAUUUAAAUAUGACAUUCAUUUAUUUAGGAUUUCUAUUUGUUUAGAAUUUUGAAUAAUUUAGAAAUUUUAUCUAUUGGAAGUUUUUAUUUUUAUUUAAGUAGGACAUUAAAUAAUUAUUUAUUUUUAUUUAAGAAUAAUAUUAAAUAAUUUAGGAUAUGUAUUUAUUUAUAGUUUUGAAUAAUUUAUUAAAUAGGUUCCUGUAUGUAAAGAACCUACCUUCACUAACCUUCCAUUACUGACGGAACCAAGGAUGAUAAUAAAGACUUCCCUGGUGGUGUCUGGACUGUGUUUUGAAUAAUCGGUUGGUUACCUCCCAGAGAAAAUACUAAGUAAGUUUACCUUCCUCUUUAAUUUUUCCUUCCUUAAAAGGUUGCUUUUAAACACAUGGUAGUAGUUGAAAGUAUUCAACCAUGCUUGUGACAAUUUGUUAAUGUAGCAUAAUUUCCUAAUUCUGAUGAUUAAUAUUUUUAAUCACAUGAUAAAAAUAUGAUGGUACCUAACAUUGCUUUUGUAAAUCACAUCAAUUGAUAUAUGUUCAAGAAGUCAAAGGAAUUAAUCUUUCUAUUAAUUAUGUGUAGGAUGAUAAUACGGGCAUGUUAUGUGAGCUGGCUGCAGUCCGCUAAAAAAAAAAAAAAUACGGGAUGAGUUAAUAAUUUAGCCUUUUGACUUAUUUAGAUCCGUCUCGCAUAACUUGCAGUUUACACGGGUCAACGUGACGCGGGUUGGCUGACCCGCGUAAAUAAAAAAAAUUAUUUUAGUUUUUUAAAUAAAUAAAUUAUACCUCAGUCACUUAUUAUUACAGCGUGACCUUUAUUUUAUUUUAUAAAAAUUAAAUUUAAUGUAAAAAGAGAAUAUUUUAGUUUAAUCAUUUAAGUAAGUUAAUAUUAAGAGUGACAAAACUUUAAUUAUUUUUAAUCAAACCUUAUAACAACUCUCGUACUUGAAUUUCUUUAUAUUUUAAUCUUAACCGAAUGAAUUGAAAUAUGUAUUAAAUUUUAAUUUUUCAGAAGGAAAAAUAUAGUUUUUUAUAAGUACUAAAAUUUUAAUUUUUUUUAUGCAGGCUGGCCCACAGACUACCUCUUAUGUAGGGCGGACAAGUAAAAUAAAUCUACAUUUUUUGUGCAAGGCGGACCAACUCAACCUGUGUUUUGUGGGCUAAACGUGAGAUGGAUCAUAACAGAACAUGUCAACCCACAUUGUCAUCCUUAAUAAUUAUGUGAUAUCUAUACACUUGGAAGCAUGAUAUACUCAACAAUACAUAUUUUCUACUUCUUGGGUUUAUUGGCAUGAUAAUGUUAAAUUAUUUUCUUAUUUUACAGAUAUAGAUUAGCAAUGGUCAUGUCUAUGAAUAUGAAUCGGCACCGCAGAUGCUGUUUCUAUUUGCAACCUUGUGAAGGCUCUUCAGUCCAGAUCCUCGCACAAGGGAAGCUAAGUUCCCCACGUAUAUUAAGAAUUCGCAAAGUAAAAGCUUUUAUGUUUAUAUUACUUGACAAUUGGUGCUGAUAAUUGCAUUAAUAAUAUUUGGAUUUGUUGUUAAGAUGCCUUACUCAUGAUUUCCAAAAAUAUUAAGAAAAUUGUAUAUAAGAAGAUGGUAAAAAAAAUUGAGAUAAUUUUAUUUUUUUAUGGAUUGAAAAUAUAUGCAAGUGUACGAAAAUUUUCUCUUUUCAAAUAAGUAGUAAUUAGUAAAUAUUGUUCAUGAAUCAUAAUAAACACUAACAUAAUUAACAAGUAAAGUAAACAUGAAUACAAUAUAUAAUGUGUUACCUUUUAUUGGAAAUAGCCACUACAACUUUACUUAUUUUUUUUGAAUUUUUUUUUUAGUUAUUGUUCUAACACGAUUUCAACCUCUUGGUUUAUUUUUGGUAAAAUUGUGCUAUGAAACAUGUUUUAGAUUUGAAUUUAUUUAUUUUUAUUUAAUCAACACGAUUUUUUAAAACAUUUUUACAUGUUUUUGUAGAAAUUGUUAGUUGGGAACAUGACCUAACCUUAAUUAUUUUUUGUUUGUUAAAAUAUCUACUUUCAAGCACGUUUUCAACUUUAAUUUUUCCUUUUUUCUUUUUAUUUUACAUUUCUUUUGUUUUAUACCUAAAUGAUUUUUAGUUUUCUGAAAAAAAUUAUUUAAUGGUUUUUAUUUUUUUUUUUACUUUAUUUUUGUCAAUUGUUUCUUAUUUAAUGCAUUUUUUUAUUAAGUUAAAUAUUUGUGUGACAAUCCAAAGAUAUUUUUAUUAACAUUUGUAAUUGGAGAAAGAAAACUUUGAUUUGGUUUUUUCAAUUAUUGUUAAUAUGUUACACGCAAUCAAAUUUAGGCUUAAUAACAAAUAAAAGACCAACUAUCUUAUUAACAUUUGUAAUUGGACAAAGAAAACUUUGAUUUGGUUUUUUCAAUUAUUGUUAAUAUGUUACACGCAAUCAAAUUUAGGCUUAAUAACAAAUAAAAGACCAACUAUCUUAUUAACAUUUGUAAUUGGACAAAGAACACUUUGAUUUGGUUUUUUCAAUUAUUGUUAAUACGUUACACGCAAUCAAAUUUAGGCUUAAUAACAAAUAAAAGACCAACUAUCUUAUUAGCACUACAUUCUUGAAGAAGUUGGUCGAAAGACAUAGGGUUUACUCUUAGUAUAUUGCAUAUAAUAUAUUUCAUCCAACUUCAACUAAAAUAUCAGAGUUCAAUAGUUGAUUAACAUAAUUAUUACGAAGUGGAUUUUAAGCCUAACUCAACCCCAUAAAACCGGCUUUAAUCUCUAGUCGGUGUGGGAUCUCCAACACACCCCCCUCACGUCGAGACUACCUACUCGUGCGUGAGACUAUAUAUUAUGGGUGGGUCCGAUAGCGGGUGGCCUGAUAAGCCCAACAAAUACUCUUGCUAGGAUAGACUCGUAAUGGCUCUGAUACCAUAUUACGAAGUGGAUUUUAAGCCUAACUCAACCCCAUAAAACCGGCUCUAAUCUCUAGUCGGUGUGGGAUCUCCAACAAUAAUUAUUGAUAUUCUUCGAUUUUAGUUACAAAUUACUUCACUAUCAUGUAAAGAUUACAUUAUAUAAUUUGCAAAAUUGUUAUAGGUUACAAAAGGAAUAAGAGGAUCUUAAAGAAGGAACGCAUAGAUCAUAUAUAAAUUUUCACAAUAUUGUUGCAGCUACAAGUCUAGUCAUGGGUCACUUCAAAAGUACGCUUAGCGAGCUUUUCCUACUCUAAUUAGUGUCUUGAACCUCUGGUUUGCAUGAGAUCAAUCAAAAUUAGGAAAGGCUAGAGGGGGGAGGUUGGGUAGAGACGGUUCGUUCCUAGUUAGGGGGUGUUGUUUUUGUUUCUAGGUAGCAUUACAUGUGAUUGGCAGAUGGAUGUCACUCUUUUCGUAUAAGGGUUGAGAUAUUCCUGAAAUACCUCCAUUUAUUCUAUUCUUUUUUUGUCGAUAAAAAAAAUGAAACAACUUAUAGUUCAAGAAGUGUUGAAGAUCUCACAUUGACUAAAGAUAAUAACAUUUUACCAUAUAUAAGUGGAUGUAAACCUCAUUUUUUAAAUUGGUUUUAUAAGGUUGAGUUCUCUAGUUGUUAAUAAGUUGUUUCAUGGACAAAUCAAAUACCAAUGAAGAAGUUAAAAAAAAAAUUAAUUAUAAAUUAACAAUUUAACAAAACAAAAUGGUAUUGAGAAACAGAUUUUCAACAUUACAAAUUUCUACCACCAAACACUCAUUUUAUAAGUAUUAACUAGGAACUACACAUGCUUAAAUUCCAUUAAUAUUUAUCACAAUAAACUAUAAAAAAAAAAAACCCUUUCAUAAUAAAGUAUAUAUCACACAUUAUAUCUACUUUAUUUUCUCCGAUAACAUUAUGAGAAUGACCUACAAUCCCACGAAAUACAAUUUACAAGGUAGACGUUAUAAAAUUAGCAAAAGUGCUUUGAGGUUGGUUUUGGUUGCGAAGCAUGUGAUUAAACUCCUUCGCAAACCUCUCCAUAGCUUCAGCAGGCAAGCUAAUCGGAAAUAUUAUUCCUUCUUCUCCUUUUCCAUUCUUAGCAGAACAGAAAUAAGAUGCCCCUGGAAAGCUUCCAGCCCCAGCUUCGGCCACUCCACCAUACACAGCCUCACCCCACCCAAAAUCCAUGGCUCUAAAUUUCACUUGUACCAAAUAUGACACAAUACAAGACCUCACAGUUGUGAAUAAUAAGCUUCGUUCCUUCAUCACCAUCAAGUCGGCAACAGAUUGCAAGUACUCUUCUUUCAUCUCACCUUUCACUUUAUUUAUUAACUCCACUGCAUACCCAAAUGGGUUUUGGCAAAGCUUCCCUGCACUCGUUACUGCCGCCGGAUAUGCAAAAGCAUUGCCGUAGUAACCAACUGGUAGUGGAGGAUUGAACCGACCACGUGCGUUAACUAUGCACAUCAUGCGAACAUCCUCAUUCGCCUCUAUCUGCAUUGCUUUUGUGCGACAUCGCCAAAGACAUGCUGCGAUAAGAUCAAAUGUGGAGCAAUGUUGAAGGUGUUGGGGAAUGAAUUUGCGAAGUGCAGCUAUGUCGAGGCGUCCAAAGAAGAAUGAUCGUUGAAUCAAGUUGUGGUUGGAAGAAGGGAGGAUAUCUUGGAUUUGCUCGUAUUCGCGGUGGUUGCGUGUAAUGCGAGGUGGAUCUCUUGCCAUUAGGAGCUCCCUACGCCAUACUGGUGCAAUGGAAGGUUUUGUUGCUCCUCUAGCCAUUUCGGCCCAAGCGUUCAUGAAUUGUUGACAACCAAAAGCAUCAACCAUGGUGUGGUUAAAUUGGAGGGCUAAGAUGAAACCACCACACUUGAGUCGUGUCACCUGCAUUUAUAUUUCAUUUUCAACAAAUUAGACAAUUUCAUUGUUUAACUCUCACAUUUAUUAUGAAAUUCUAAUAUAUAUUUAAGAUAUCAUAAUUGAAAUUGUGUAACUUAAGAAAAAUGAGCUAAAAUGAAAAUGUGAUAUGUCAAUUUAAUUAUUUAAUUUUAGUAAACUAAGCACUUGUGCACGUGAUUUUAGUGAUUUUUUUUUAUUUUGAAGAAUAAGUGAAUAAUAGAUAAAAUAAGAUUUUAAAAUGCAAUUCACAGUAUUAAAAUAGGAGUUAGAGAUGACCUCAACCAUAAAUUGUUGCAUAUUUAUUUAAAUUAAAACGAAUUUAAAGAUUUUAAUAAAAAGUUAUAAUCUGGUUUUUGAUAUUCUAUUAGACAGGUAACAAUAAUACUUAUUAACAAAAAAAAAACUUAUUAACAAUAUUAUUGAAUUAAAAUAAUUUUGUAAUGUUAAAGUGAUAAAACAAAAGCUGAACUGCAAAUAACUACAACAAAAAAUUAACUUAAAAUUACUAAAACCAGUGGAAAGCCGUGAAUCUUACAUCUUAUAAAUUAAAACAAAUUUGUCAUGGAUUUUAGGUAACAGAUAUCACACAUAAAAUAAAAUUAAACAAAUGAUUAAUGAAUUAUAAAAACAAGAAUCAAAAGUGUUCUUCCAAUACAUUCGACAUAUACCUGAAAUAAAUAAAAAAUAUAAAAUGAAUAAAACGUGUCUUAGUUUGAUGAGUAUGUGUAGUGAACCUGUACGAGUAGAAGGGGAGUGUUGGUAAUUUGUUGUGAGCCAGGAACAUCGUACAGCAGUUCAUCAAAGCAUGGAAAUGGAGGUUGGAGAGAAUCACCAAACUCAGCCAGUGUGACGUCAGCAUCACCCUCCAUGAACAUGACACCUUCUCCAGUGCAAUCCACCAUUAGUUUGCGCUGAGGUCCCUCCCUAAGCCUACCCGCAAAUGGGUAAUAGAAGACAAGUGUUUGUGACAAUGCUUUCCGAAUCACUUCAACUGGGUCUUUCUCUGCCAUUGAUGCCUGCUUUCUAUAAAUUUGUAUCAUUGGAAUGUGGAAACGCAGGGCUUCUUGAUCAUCAAUGUCGGAAAGUAGCUUGAGUUCAUGAGGAGUGGGGAUAGCAGGAGCCACCAGCUGGGGUUGGGACCUUCGCACUGUAAACUUUAGAGAAGAAGAAGAAGAAGAUGAUGAUAAAGAUGAGGCCAUGAGAAUUAUGAGAGAAGAGAAGAGAAAUUAAGCAAGUGGAUUUUGGUUGAGUGAAUGUGAGUUCCUAGGGCUCAGCCUGCAACCCUUUAUAGAUGGAAAUCAUUCUCAUUAAAUAAAUACGAAACACGUUUUCAUGACGAGCAAUAAUACUUUCUAAGACUUCAAAACUAAAAGAUUAUUCAUAAUUUUUUUUAUGAAAUAAACAAUUUUAAAAUUAUAUUAACCUAAUUACAAUUAUAAACUGGGAAUUUUCAAUUUUCAGAUGACAAUAUUUUUCAAACUAACAAUAAUCUGAAAUGAAAGUGUAUUACUCUUGGAUGCAUAAUAAAUCUUUCUCUUUCAUGAUAACAUAAGAUAAACAAUACCGAAUAUUCUGAAUAUUAUAACUUAAGAACAAAAUAAUUUUUAACAAUGCUAUUUUAAUUCUUAAAAUUAAAAUAAUUUUAAUAGUAAAUUUGUCUCUUAUAAUUUAAUAGAGUAUUAUUACAAAGUGGACUUUAAGCCUAACUCAAUCCCAUAAAACUGGCUCAUAAGGUUGAGGUUUGCACCCACUUAUAUAUAAUGAAAGGCUCUAAUAUCUAGUCGAUGAGGGAUCUUCAACAAGUAUAAUUAUGACAUUAUUUAAGUUUUUAGUUGCUUAAAUAUUAAAAUAAAAUUUUAUUUUUUCAUGAUUAAAUUCAAAUUAUUUCAUGUAUCUAGAUAAUCAUUCAUUAUAAGAUAUAGACAUUGAAGUGUAUUAUUAUUAUUAAACUAAAGUUUAUAAAUAUAAAAUAAAGUUAAACAUAAGUUUGCAUAUAAGAUUAUUUAUGAAAGGUCAUACAUCAAUACGAAAAUGGACCCAAAGUGUCACACAGCCACAAUAUAACCUGACCUUAUCAAGUGCUUACCAGUCAAAGAAUAUUUGGUAUCCAUGGUUUUGCAUUUUUCAUAUUUUGUGUGUGUGGAAUCACAAUGGAAGAUCUUCUUUUUUAUUUAUUUUACUUCUGCAUAUUUACGUAUUCCUAUCUCUUUAAAUUGAAUUUUCUUUAUAUCAAAUCACACAAAUAAAUUUAAUAUUAUAUACCAAUUGCACUACAAGAAAAACGCGAAUUACAUACAGAUUAUUACAUACGGAUUAAAAUCCGUAUGUAAAAUCAACAUUACAUACGGAUUAAAAUCCGUAUGUAAUUUUUGGCGCCAUGCAGGAUUUUUUCCGUAUGUAAAUAUUAGCACCAUAAAAUAAAAUUAGCAGUGAAUGGGAUUCGAAACCAGGUUCCUUCAGCAAUCCUUCAGCAACCAAGUAAAAUUUAACCACUACACCAAGCAAAUUCUUUAGUUUUAUUAUGAUUUUUAUUAUACUUAUUAUUAUUAAUAAUACUAACAAUAUUAAUAAUACAAACAAUAUUAAUAAUAUUAACAAUAUUAACAAUAUUAAUAAUAUUAACAAUACUAACAAUAUUAAUAAUACUAACAAUAUUAAUAAUACUAAAAAUAUUAAUAAUACUAACAAUAAUAAUAAUACUAACAAUAAUAAUGAUACUAACAAUAUUAACAUAUGAAUCACAUUUAAUUUAUCUAUAAUCUACUUGAAUCUAAACAUAAUUUAUUAUAUUAUCUAUUAGUAUGAAUCAAAUUUAAUAUAUGUCAUACUCAUAGUCAUCAUAUUACCUNNNNNNNNNNNNNNNNNNNNNNNNNNNNNNNNNNNNNNNNNNNNNNNNNNNNNNNNNNNNNNNNNNNNNNNNNNNNNNNNNNNNNNNNNNNNNNNNNNNNNNNNNNNNNNNNNNNNNNNNNNNNNNNNNNNNNNNNNNNNNNNNNNNNNNNNNNNNNNNNNNNNNNNNNNNNNNNNNNNNNNNNNNNNNNNNNNNNNNNNNNNNNNNNNNNNNNNNNNNNNNNNNNNNNNNNNNNNNNNNNNNNNNNNNNNNNNNNNNNNNNNNNNNNNNNNNNNNNNNNNNNNNNNNNNNNNNNNNNNNNNNNNNNNNNNNNNNNNNNNNNNNNNNNNNNNNNNNNNNNNNNNNNNNNNNNNNNNNNNNNNNNNNNNNNNNNNNNNNNNNNNNNNNNNNNNNNNNNNNNNNNNNNNNNNNNNNNNNNNNNNNNNNNNNNNNNNNNNNNNNNNNNNNNNNNNNNNNNNNNNNNNNNNNNNNNNNNNNNNNNNNNNNNNNNNNNNNNNNNNNNNNNNNNNNNNNNNNNNNNNNNNNNNNNNNNNNNNNNNNNNNNNNNNNNNNNNNNNNNNNNNNNNNNNNNNNNNNNNNNNNNNNNNNNNNNNNNNNNNNNNNNNNNNNNNNNNNNNNNNNNNNNNNNNNNNNNNNNNNNNNNNNNNNNNNNNNNNNNNNNNNNNNNNNNNNNNNNNNNNNNNNNNNNNNNNNNNNNNNNNNNNNNNNNNNNNNNNNNNNNNNNNNNNNNNNNNNNNNNNNNNNNNNNNNGAAUAUUAAUACUAAUAAUAUUAAUACUAAUAAUAAUAUCAAUAAUAAUAUUAAUAAAUAUUAAUAAUAAUAUGAAUAUUAAUACUAAUAAUAAUAAUAAUAAUAUUAAUAAUAUUAAUAAUAAUAUUAAUAAUAAUAAUAAUAAUAAUAAUAAUAUUAAUAAUAUUAAUAAUAUUAGUAAUAAUAUUAGUAAUAAUAUUAAUAAUAUUAAUAAUAAUAUUAAUAAUAUUAAUAAUAAUAUUAAUAAUAUUAAUAGUAAUAUUAAUAAUAUGAAUAAUAAUAUUAAUAAUAUGAAUAAUAAUAUUAAUAAUAUUAAUAAUAAUGUUAAUAAUAUUAAUAAUAAUAUUAAUAAUAAUGUUAAUAAUAAUAUUAAUAAUAAUAUUAAUAAAUAUUAAUAAUACGAAUAUAAUGUUAAUAAUAAUAUUAAUUAUAACAUUAAUAAAUAUUAAUAAUAUUUAUAAUAUGAAUAUAAUGUUAAUAAUAAUAUUAAUUAUAACAUUAAUAAAUAUUAAUAAUAUGAAUAAUAUUAAUAAAUAUUAAUAAUAUAAAUAUAAUUUAUUUUAUUAUUAUUAUUAAUAAUUAUAUUAAUAUGUAUAAAUUAUAUUAAUAUGUAUAAGUAUAAUAAAAAUGAUAAUAUGACCAAAGAACUUGUCUGGUCUAGUGGUCAAUGCUUCCCCUGGUCACUGGAAAGACUUGGGUUCGAAUCCUGGCUGCUGCAGUUUGCUUGUAACAUUAUUUGGGGCUUGGUUUCGAGUCCUAGCCAGUGCAAAAUGCCUCUAGGAUUAAUAAAAAAAUAUAGAUAAUGAUAAAUAAUAAUUAGUAAUAAUGAAAAAAUUAAAAAAAAAAUUUACAUUACAUACGGAUUUUAGGUCUUACAUACGGAUUUUGACUGUAUGUAAUUCCAAGUUUUCUUGUAGUGUUGCUAAAUUCAUUCAUAUCUAAUAUUAGAAACAAUGUUGAUAUUUACCCCCGAUAAAAUUAUUGUGAGUAUUAUUACCAAAUACGAUAUAAUUUUCCCCGUUAUAUUGAACCUCUCUUUGCAUUUUGUUAAAGUUGAUGUGAGAAAAAAAAAAACAUGUAGUCUGAUCACGGUGAAGAACGUAAAAAUUGUGUAAAAUUAAAAAAAGUCACAGUAAGUUGUAAAAUUAAAAAAAAAUCACAGUAAGUUGCCAGAGGCCGUGAAUUUAAAAUUUGAUAUUAAAUUUUUUAUAUGUUGAGAGUUAUUGAAAGAAUCUUAUCCACGAAAAGAAAAGAAUGAAUGUAUACCACUUAUAUUUCAAUAUUUUGACAAUCAUCACGCAAAACAGGUGCCACAUUUGACACAUUUAACGAGAAGUGAUGUGUCUCAGAAGACGAAGACUUUUCUCACAAUCAUUCAUUACUGUGUUCGUACUAUGAAACAUUAAUUGUCUGUUUGUUUUUGGACAGAAAUACUAAAACUUAAAAAUUCAACCAAAAAUAUCAACAUUUAAACUUUCGGUUUAAAAGUGCGAGAAGAAGAUGUGGCAAAAAAUAAUCAAAUAAACAAACUCGAUUCCAGAAUCCUAUGAAUUAUGGUAAUUGCGUACUAUGUUUUGCUGAUCAUACACACCAAAUUUAUUUUAAAAUAUAAAAUAAUUUGAGAUGGAUAAAUUAGAAAAAUGAAAAAUAUUAUUAUUUUUUUAUUAGGUUAAGGGUGUUCACAAAUUUUGUACAUGUAAAAGAAAAACAUUCCCAUCAAAAUUAAGAGUAAGAAAGGAUUGUUACGUACUUCAGUAAUAGUGGUGGUGGUUAGCUACUUCUUUUGUGUGUUAAUAAGAGUUAAUAGGUGAAAGAAUCUUAUCCACGAAAGAAAAAGAAUGAAUGCAUACAACAAGUAUUACUUAUAUUUCAAUAAUUUGACAAUCAUCACGCAAAGAACGUGCCACAUUUAACACAUUUAAUGAGAAGUGAUUUCUGACCAGACGUUCACCAAUACAAAAACCAUUCCUUCCCGUGGUGUUCUUACUAUGAAACAUUAAUUGUCUGUUUAUUUUUCGAUAGAAAUAGUCAAACCUUAAUGCUCUGUUUGUAUACAGUAUUUGUACCUUAAUGCUCUGUUUGUAUACGAUAUUUGUUUCUAGUCAUCUAGACAUAUGUAAAGGCAAAGAAAGAUGAAUGAAGAUAUAAGGUAUCUUCUAUAGUCGAAGAGAAAGUGAAACACAGCAUACAAAGGCUCUCAAAAAAUAAUUUUCUUAUAUUAAUAAUAAUAAAAAUAAUUAUUAAUAUUACUUUUUUAUAAAAAAAAAUAUACUUAAUAUAUAUAUAUAUAUAAUAUAAUAUAAUGUAAUUUAGAUUAAUAAAAUAAAAUAAUAUAAUUAUAUUUAAUUUUUUAAUUUUAUUUCUUUAUUUUAAUUUUACAUUAUUUUAUUUUUUAUUUAUAAUUGUAAUUUUAUAUUAUUUUAAUCAACUAAAAUAUCCACAAAAUUAAUUAUUAUUAGAAUUAGUUUUAUUUCAGAUAUUCAUUUAAGUAGGAUAUUAAGUAAAUUAGAAUUUGUAUAAGCAUUUGUAUAUGUUUUGUUUUUGGUUGACUAAUAAUCCAUCUUUCCUUAUAGGCUUUGGGAUAUUGGUGAGCAGAGAUGUGUGCAUUCUUAUGUUGUUCAUACAGAUUCAGUAACAUUUAGUCAUGUUUAUAGUUUCAGUGAGUGUCCUUUUGUUGUGAAAAUUAAUAAUUUUAAUAGGUUCCUGUAUGUAAAGAACCUACCUUCACUAACCUGGGUACACCUGGAAUAGUACAACAUGAAGUUUUGAAUAAUAAGAGGCAUGUGUUGACGAAGGUAACAGUGGUGUUUUCUGGUCAUUUUUUGUGCCAUGCAUAUUGAUAGUUCGUUGGUGUCAUCCAUUUUUGUGUGAAAUUAAUAUCCUUUGUCGUUACUGGGAAUCCUAACAUGCAUGGGAAUCCUAUUUGCUGUAAUGAGUUGUAUUUUCACUAUUGUCUGAAUGUUCAUUAUUGGUACCACGAGUAACUUUAAUUUUUGCUAAAAUUGUGCUAUGAAACAUGUUUUAGAUUUUAAUUGAUUUUUUUAUUUAAUCAAGCACGAUUUGUUUUUUUUUUAAACUUUUUUAUUUGUUUUUGUUGAAAUCUAAUUGGGAAGAUGACCUAACCUUGGUUUUUUUGUUUGUUUGUUAAAAUCUACUUUCAAGCACGUUUUCAACUUUAAUUUUUUCUUUUUAUUUGUCAUUUCUUUUUGUUUUAUACCUAAAUGAUAUUUAGUUUUUUGAAAAGUUUUUAUUUAAUUUUUUUACUUUAGUUUUGCAAAUUGUUUCUUAUUUAAUGUAUUUGUUUUUAUUAACUUAAAUAUUUGUUUGACAAUCCAAACAUAUUUCCAUUAACAUUCGUAAUUGGACAAAGGAAGCUUUGAUUUGCUUCUUCUAAUUAUUGUUAAUAUUAUUACACCUCAAUAAAUUUUAGGCUUGAUAUUAAAUAAAAGACCAACUAUUUUGUUAGCACUAUAAUAUGAAGUUGUUGGAAGACAUAGGGUUAGUAUAGUGCAUAUACAAUAUAUUACUUUCAACUUCAACUAAAUAUUCAAAGUUAAAGACAUGUUUUAGCCCAAUGGCACAUGCUGGUAUGCAAGCUGCUUUGACAUGUAGGCUCUGGCACAUACUGGUUCAGGAAUUUUUUUUUAGCAUGUUUUGGUGAUGUGGGUUUGCUGAGAAAGCGUGCUCGGGAACCUAUUUUUUUGGAGUUAGGCUAUGUUAUUGUCAUAUUCUAGUCUCCUUUAGAAGCAUAGGAUUGGUUAGUUGGUUCUUUGGCUCACUAUUUUCACCUUAUUUUGACUUGAAACUUUGAUACAUGCUCUUGAGAUUAGUUUUUUUUUUUAUGUAUAAGGUUGUCUCACAUUUUUCUGAAGAGUCACUUCAAAUUUACAAAAUUCUUUGUUGACAAAAAAAAAUAUAUAAGUAAUGUAAAUCACAUUUUAUAAAUUAAUUUUAUAAAGUUGAGUUAUCAAUUUCUUAAUAAGUUGUUUCAUGGACAAAUCAAAUAACAGUGAAAAAGUUUAAAUAAAAAAGAUAAUUAUAAAUUAACAAUUUAACAAAACAAAAUGUUAUUUAGAAACAAAUUUCUACCACAAAACACUCAUUCUUAUAAAAGUUUAAAAAUUACAUAAAUUUCAUACAAAAUAUCUCCAUUUUGUUAAAUUAGACCAUGUUACCCACUAGUAAUGCCUAAGAACUACACCUGCUAAAAUUUCAUUGAUAUUUAUCACAACAAACCAGUACAUUUCUUCAUAAUACAAAAUAUAUCUCACAUUAUAUCUACUUCUUUUCUUCGGUCACAUUAUGAGAAUGACCUAUAAUCCCAUGAAAUACAGUUUACAAGGUAGACCUUAUAAAAUUAGAAGUGCUUUGAGGUUGGUUUUGGUUGCGAAGCAUGUCAUUAAACUCUUUGGUAAACCUUUCCAUAGCUUCAGCAGGCAAGAAAAUCGAAAAUGUCAUUCCUUCUUCUCCUUUUCCAUUCUUAGCAGAACAGAAAUAAGAUACCGCUGGAAAGCCCCCAGCCCCAGCAUGGGCCACUCCACCAUAGAUAGCUUCACCCCAACCAAAAUCGAUUACUCUAAAAUUCGUACGUGCCAAAUAUGAUACAAUAUAAGACCUCACAGUUGUGAAUAAUAAGCUUCGUUCCUUCAUCACCAUCAAGUCGGCAACAGAUUGCAAGUACUCUUCUUUCAUCUCACCUUUCACUUUAUUUAUUAACUCCACCGCAUACCCAAAUGGGUUUUGGCAAAGCUUCCCUGCACUCGUUACUGCCGCCGGAUAUGCAAAAGCAUUGCCGUAGUAACCAACUGGUAGUGAAGGAUUGAACCGACCACGUGCGUUAACUAUGCACAUCAUGCGAACAUCCUCAUUUGCCUCUAUCUGCAUUGCUUUAGUGCGACAUCGCCACAAACAUGCUGUGAUAAGAUCAAAUGUAGAGCAAUGUUGAAGGUGUUGGGGAAUGGAUUUGCGAAGUGCAGCUAUAUCGAGGCGUCCAAAGAAGAAUGAUCGUUGAAUCAAGUUGUGGUUGGAAGAAGGGAGGGUAUCUUGGAUUUGCUCGUAUUCGCGAUGGUUGCAUGUAAUGCGAGGUGGAUCUCUUGCCAUUAGGAGCUCCCUACGCCAUACUGGUGCAAUGGAAGGUUUGGUUGCUCCUCUAGCCAUUUCGGCCCAAGCGUUCAUGAAUUGUUGGUAACCAAAACCAUCAACCAUGGUGUGGCUAAAGCGGAGAGCUAAG
rnacentral:lncRNA from 1 species